rnacentral:rRNA from 1 species
CAGUAGCCGCGGGAAUACAGAGGGUGCAAGCGUUAAUCGGAAUUACUGGGCGUAAAGCGCGCGUAGGUGGUUUGUUAAGUUGGAUGUGAAAUCCCCGGGCUCAACCUGGGAACUGCAUUUGAAACUGUCAGGCUGGAGUCUUGUAGAGGGGGGUAGAAUUCCAGGUGUAGCGGUGAAAUGCGUAGAGAUCUGGAGGAAUACCGGUGGCGAAGGCGGCCCCCUGGACAAAGGCUGACGCUCAGGUGCGAAAGCGUGGGGAGCAAACAGGAUUAGAUACCCCAGUAGUCCCUGUCUCUUAUAC